AAUGAACGCUGGCGGCGUGGUUAAGACAUGCAAGUCGAACGGUUUUUAUUGAAGGGCAACCGGAUAUAAAAGCAGUGGCGAACGGGUGCGUAACACGUGAACAAUCUACCUCCAAGUGGGGAAUAGCUCGCCGAAAGGCGAAUUAAUACCGCAUGUGGUGGUUUCUCGCAUGAGAGACUUACUAAAACAAGGACCGCAAGCCUGUUGCUAGAGAGGAGUUCGCGGCCUAUCAGCAGUUGGCGAGGUAACGGC
rnacentral:rRNA from 1 species